rnacentral:tRNA from 2 species
GUGACUGUAGUUCAAUUGGUAGAGCGUCGGAUUUCCAAUCCGAAUGUUUGCGAGUUCAAACCUCGUCAGUCACUCCA